rnacentral:rRNA from 1 species
ACCCGCACAAGCGGUGGAUGAUGUGGUUUAAUUCGAUGCAACGCGAAAACCUUACCCACCUUUGACAUGUACGGAAUCCUUUAGAGAUAGAGGAGUGCUCGAAAGAGAGCCGUAACACAGGUGCUGCAUGGCUGUCGUCAGCUCGUGUCGUGAGAUGUUGGGUUAAGUCCCGCAACGAGCGCAACCCUUGUCAUUAGUUGCUACAUUCAGUUGGGCACUCUAAUGAGACUGCCGGUGACAAACCGGAGGAAGGUGGGGAUGACGUCAAGUCCUCAUGGCCCUUAUAGGUGGGGCUACACACGUCAUACAAUGGAUGGUACAAAGGGUCGCCAACCCGCGAGGGGGAGCCAAUCCCAUAAAGCCAUUCGUAGUCCGGAUCGCAGUCUGCAACCCGACUGCGUGAAGUCGGAAUCGCUAGUAAUCGUGGAUCAGAAUGUCACGGUGAAUACGUUCCCGGGUCUU